AUUGAACGCUGGCGGCAUGCCUUACACAUGCAAGUCGAACGGUAACAGGUCUUCGGAUGCUGACGAGUGGCGAACGGGUGAGUAAUACAUCGGAACGUGCCCGAUCGUGGGGGAUAACGAAGCGAAAGCUUUGCUAAUACCGCAUACGAUCUACGGAUGAAAGCAGGGGACCGCAGGGCCUUGCGCGAACGGACCGGCCGAUGGCAGAUUAGGUAGUUGGUGGGAUAAAAGCUUACCAAGCCGACGAUCUGUAGCUGGUCUGAGAGGACGACCAGCCACACUGGGACUGAGACACGGCCCAGACUCCUACGGGAGGCAGCAGUGGGGAAUUUUGGACAAUGGGCGAAAGCCUGAUCCAGCCAUGCCGCGUGCAGGAUGAAGGCCUUCGGGUUGUAAACUGCUUUUGUACGGAACGAAAAGACUCUGGUUAAUACCUGGGGUCCAUGACGGUACCGUAAGAAUAAGCACCGGCUAACUACGUGCCAGCCGCCGCCGUAA
rnacentral:rRNA from 1 species